AGGGUAAUAGUUCAGUGGUAGAGCACAUGCUUAGCAUGCAUGAGGUCCUGGGUUCAAUCCCUAAUUCUUCCA
rnacentral:tRNA from 1 species